rnacentral:rRNA from 1 species
AUUGAACGCUGGCGGCAGGCCUAACACAUGCAAGUCGAACGAGUGGCGGACGGGUGAGUAAUGCUUGGGAAUCUAGCUUAUGGAGGGGGAUAAAUACGGGAAACUGUAGCUCAUAACGCGUACCAUAGUCAGAGCUCAAGUGGGCUUAGGUAGUUGGUGAGGUAAAGGCUAACCAAGGCGACGAUCUCUAGCUGGUCUGAGAGGAUGACCAGCCACACGGGGACUGAGAACCGGCCCAGACUCCUACGGGAGGCAGCAGUGGGGAAUAUUGCUCAAUGGGGGCAACCUGACGCAGCCAUGCCGCGUGAAGGAAGAAGGCCUUCGGGUUGUAAAGUUCUUUCGGUAGCGAGGCGUUAACUACAGAAGAAGCACCGGCUAACUCCGUGCCAGCAGCCGCGGUAAUAC